ensembl:lncRNA
CGACAAUAGCCUCCUGACUCCCCGUCCCUCCCCAUCCGAGCCCUUCACCUCCCAGUAUUCCACACCCCAUACUGGCCCAGAGAGAGCAUUUUACAGCACAGCUCUGCUCCUGCUACAUGACCCUCCACUGCCAAGAGACAAAGGCCCUGCUCCACAGGGGAGGCUCUUCUGUCCAUGGAAUCCUCCAGGCCAGAAUACUGGAGAGGGUAGCCUUUCCCUUCUCCAGGGGAUCUUCCCAACCCAGGGACUGAACCCAGGUCUCCUGCACUGCAGGUGGAUUCUUUACCAUCUGAGCCACCAGGGAAGUGCACCUCAGGCUUCCAUCACCCCGAAUUCUAGAAAAAUCAGCGAUUAUAAUGCACGGACAUCACACAGAACAUUCCAGGUGCUGAGCUGAGUGCUUCACGAGCAUCACCACACUCAUCCGCGUGACGUAUCUGUGAUCUGUGUGCAGUGUGCUCCGCCGCAGGCUUUGGAGAGAAUUGCCAACACAGACGCAUUCUCGCCCCCCUGGAGCUUCCGUUUUCCCUGGGGAAAACAGGCGUCAGCCGAAGAACAAAGGAAAAAAAUUACAAAAGAUUCCAGCUUCUGGUCCAGGCCUUCAGAGAAGAUUCUAAAUUGAGCUGUCAUGUGGUCCAUAAUCCCAUUAAAAAUAUCAUUCAUCUAGUCUCCCUCCUUUCCUCAUCGGUUAGGCACUCGCUGUUCCUUCCCAGGUCAAGGGCACAUGCCAGAGAGCAAAGGGGGAUUAAUUGAGCAUCUUUUGCCUGCCAAGAUGGUCUCAUCUCGUUCUGUCCCCAUAACUGUGCACACGAGGUGAUCAUUACUUUUUCCACUUUUUGAGCAAGGAGGUCAGGGCUCGUAGCUUAGGGCGGAGGUCACAAGGCACCUGCUCUGGGUCUCUUGGCUACCCAGUGAAGGCCUUGCAGACAGUGGCAUCUUUUCUCCACCUCCAUCAGAAGAGGCUCUCGCUCUGCUCAGGACACUGUCCUGUUGUCAUGAUAACAGCAAUAACCACGGCAGCAGCAGAAACGGCACAGUUUCAUUCCCUUGCAGAGUCACCACUUGAGUGUCCAUGUGCAAAGUAGUGUGCUUGUAUGAUGUCAUUUCAUUUGUACAAGAAAUUGGCAAGGCAGGUCGUGACCCCAGUUCACACACAAAGGGAUAGGUUCAUGGGAAUGAGCAAGAAGCCCAAGUGUACCCCAUGAGUCAGGACUUGAAUCCAUAUUUGUCUGGUCCUUCACCUAAUGAGUGUGCCAUUGAUUCAAACAGUGGAGGCACAGCCAUUCCUACAUGGUGAGAACAGAAGCCAGGAGGCAGGGGAAUAAGGGAGCUGACUGAGAUGGGAGAUUGUGAGCCCCUGAGAGCAGAUGGGUAGGGCAACUCCCUGGGAUCGGACUGGGGGCUUUAGGUCCAGGUGCCCCUAAGUUUCCAGGGGCAUCCCCAGAGCCUAAAACACUCCUCUGCCUGACAUUUUUCUUUGCUUAAAUUGCGCUGAGUGCUUUUCUGUUAUUUGCCAAAAGCCCGGACCCAGACAGCAAAAAAACCUGCUUAUUAAAACACACACACACACACACACACACACACACAAAACUGCUACUGCUUAAAAUAAGCAACAAUUCCAACAAUGAGUAUCUCUUGCUCAAAGAGGCCUCAUCAAAUAAGAGGAACAAGGCUUUUGCAAACCUAAAUGGAAAUCAAACCCACAAUCUGAGCACACACUUGUUUGACAAGUGAUAAUUAACUGCUGACAAUAUAAUUUCAGUUUGGAUGCAAAUGUGUUUUUCAUUAGAAAGUAAUCAAAGAGGUGUUUGUGUCUGAGAGUCCAGCCUCCAACAGGGGGAGCUCAGCUCUUCUGCUGAAAGGUUUGGGAAUUGAGAACCCACUGUUCCUGGCCAUGUGGGCAUGGAUCCCCAAAGUGACACUGAUCUCCAGGACAGCUUCCAGAAGGGAGCUCAGUAAGCCCCUGUCACUAAGGAUCCUGUACCCUUGGGGAAUCUAGUGAUCCUCUGGCCAUCUCUGAUCCCAAAUGUGCCUAGAGCUGCCUUGCAGGGGUUGAGAGCUGGCCCUUUUCUCUAGUCAACUCAACUCCACUGUAUCUCAGUUUCCUCAUUUGUAACAUGGGAAUAAUACUGAUACUUACCUCGUGAGCUUAUUGUGAGGUUUAAAUAAGUUAAUACAGGAAAGUGUGCCUGGUACGCAGAAUCUCUCAAUAGAUACCAGUAGCUAUGAUAC